UUUCGCCUUCCUUUUCUGUGCACUGUGUGAAUGAAUAGGGAUUAUAUAUGUGCCUAGGGACGGGGUGUGCCUUGAUCUAUUAUAUUUAUGCCUUUGGAUUGGGAAAAAAAAAAAAAAAUACAGUAAGGGAAGGAAGUAAAUAAUCUGCUGUUGAAAGUCAUCCGAGCUUGAACUAGCAGGGAAAUAUUGUACAUAUGGAAGAGAUGCAGACUGUGGUGAAUGUAAGAAAUGACAGUAAAGCUUGCUAUGUGUUGACAGUCCUGUCUACUUACGGAUGAGGAUGUCGCUCAGAAACAUGAACUACACAAGAGGGACCAGCUAUGCAGAACUACACGAGAGGGACCAGCUACGAGUCUUCUUAGUUUGGUCCGCUGAGAGUCCUUAUGAGGCAACUAGUCAGCUGUAGGUUCUGGAGACACAAUGACCAGCUACAUAUGUCCUUUCUGAAAGAAGUAUGAAGUCAAAACAUACAUACUAAUGUAGCAACUCCUUACAUUUGCCCCAUCAUCUUCCAUAGAUUGAAAUAUCAACAGGAGGAGGACAUGAAGAAUGAACUAAAUAUUAGAAGUAGCAGAGAGAGAGAGAGAGAGAGAGAGAGAGAGAGAGAGAGAGAGAGAGAGAGAGAGAGAGAGAUACUUUCCCUCUGUUCACCUUUAGCAGCACACUGUGAUGUAAUUUUCCAGCAAUGAGAGAGACUUUCCCUCUGUUCACCUUUAGCAGCACACAGUGAUGUAAUCUUCCAGCAAUGAGUGGCACUGGUGACAACUAUGAAUGUCGCCAGAAUGGAACUGUUCCUUGUUCCACUGCAGGUCCUGGGAGGCCAAUGAGUGCUAGCAAGUCAUCCAUUGUGUUGUACUCCUCUCCUCCCUGAAAUACGUAUUGAACAAUAAGCUUCAUACCAACCCAGCAUCAACACCUCUCAUUUACCUAACAACAUUAACAGCAGCUGUGUUGUUGGUCUGUCCUUUCUCUGUCUGAUAUUGAGGUUAGUAAUGUAGCACAGUAAUGGCCAGAAAAUCCGGGAGUAGUGGUGGCUGGCAGGAAUGCCUCCCCCACCAACUCCAUUAUGAUGCAUUGGCAAUAUGCUUUACUGUUGUUUUUAAGAACAUAGCCCAAUUUUUUUUAGCUUGGGAGCAGUGUACUGUAGUUGUUCCUUGCUCAUGUUCUCGGACAACUCUAUCCAGGUAAAGUGAACAUACUGCUUUAUGCUGAUAAGGCUGAGGUGAUACUGGAAGUUGGCAGGCUUCAUUCGAAAAUGUCCACAUGGCUGCCAACAGAAUGACUUGCAUGAUAUUUUCUGCUAAAUGUAUUAUAUAUCAUGAUAUCUUGCAUUGUUUAUAUAAAUAUGAAUUACAAAAUAUUUUCUAUCAUUUCAAUAUAUGUAAAAUGCAUGAAUUCUCUUGUUUUUAGGUUUGUGUUAUUUGCAUGAGUACCAACACAAUAAUGAGAACCGUCUCGCAUGAAGAAACAGAGGAGAGCGUUUGUUAAUAUGUUGGACAGAAGAGUUUUUCUAGAGGACUCUCUGUAGAAAGGGGAUUUGGUAGAUUGAUAAUUAUAAUUUCCAUGACAAUCUCUCUCUCUCUCACACACACACACACACACACACACACACACACACACACACACACACACACACACACACACACACACACACACACACACACA